UGUUCUUGUUUUUGGGUGAUGUAGUGUAUGUAUGUCUGUCCCGAAGGAGAGAAAAAAAAAAGUGAGAGAACUAUUAAGUGGGGACUAGGAAGGCAGCUAGGAUAGGGAACUUGAGACACUGAUUGCAUUAUUGGAAGAAAAACACAUAAUUAACCAAUAUUUUUAUAUUGGUUCUCGUCUUGAUACACUUCAACGUAAUAUUAGAAAUUAAUCUUAUUCCACUUUCAACGUUAUUAAGUGGGGACAAUAAUAUAGUAAUUGUAUUUUUAGUAUCUCUUAGAGUUCAUCACUAUCUUCCGGGUAACAAUAAUAUAUUGUAACUUCCAAUAUUUACCAGUUAUUUGCUAUCAUCCGGGUAGAUCUUGAGGAGUGGCAAAACCUGUUCUUUCUUCUCUCACUGGAUCGAUUCCAGAAUUUACCACUAGUUCUUUGCUAUCUUCCGGGUAGAUCUUGCAAGUUAUUUUGUAAAAUAGAUCACUCAAACAUAAUUAUGCUGUAAUCUACUUAUCUAUUUGUAAUAUAUAAAUCCUGAGGUACAAAUCAAUACCAUGCCACAUCAUUACCCCAUUUCAUCUCUUUGUGCAUCUCUUUUUAUAUAUCCGAUGUCUAUUUGUUUGUCUAUUUCCUUCUACCAUUUCAUUUUCAUGUGAGAAAGAGAAGUGCUGAAGUAGGUGAAAAAACUGCCAUAAGGAUGGUUGCCUCUUCCACAUGAUCUGCAAGAUGGGCAGACCAAAAUUUCUAUGCAAAUUGGGUCCUUCUUUGAUGCUUUCCACAUGUAUCGUUUUCAGGGAUGUGUGACAAAGAACAGGUUGUGCCAUCUAUUGAUUUAGUUUAAAUGUAGAAGAGGUUGUUCCAUCUAUAGUAAACAGAUUCCGACAUCUAGCUUUGCUUUUAUCUCAAUAUUUUUAAGGUUCUGGUCUGUUUUGAUAUUGAAAUUAAUCAAGAAAUAAUAAUUUUUACAGGGUGUUUCUGAAUUGUUAUUAUUGGAACUCCAUAUAUUGCCAAUUGCCACACACACUGUAAAACUUCAUUUCAUUGAGAUGGCUUCCUUCACUUUUGCCUGCUCUGUCUAAAUUGUCGAGUUCAACAUGCAUAAAACAUAUUGCCCAAAGCAUCGAAGCAUCUAAAUAAUUGACUAUUCUACGUGAUAUCAUGGAGCUCUAGCACAAAAGAGAUAAAUUUUUUGAAGUCAAGAAAAUGACCAACUCCUUCAAAGUUAAAUUGGGUGAAGGUGGUUUUGGUGUUGUAUACUAAGGAGAGCUACACAGUGGUUGCCCAGUGGCUGUAAAGAUAUUGAAUGCAUCCAAAGGAAAUGACAAACACUUUGUCAAUGAGGUUGCUAGUAUGAGUAUAACUUCUGAUGUUAAUGUUGCCAUACUUCUUUGAUUCUGUUUGGAAGGACGCAAGAAAGCUCUCAUCUAUGAAUUCAUGUAUAAUGGUUCCCUUGACAAGUUUAUUUUCAGUAAGGAGCUUUAGGCAACUUCAUCGUUGAGUUGGGAUAAUUUGUGGCAAACUGCCUUAGGGAUAGCCAGAGGACUAGAAUACUUGCAUAACCGAUGCAACAUUCGAAUGUUACAUUUUGACAUAAAGCGACAACAUUCUUUUGGAUGAGAAGUUCUGUCCCAAGAUAUCUGAUUUUGGGCUAGCAAAGCUUUGUCCUAGAAAUGAAAGUAUUAUUUCCAGGUCUGAUGCCAGAGGAACAUUAGGGUAUGUAGCUCCAGAAAUUUUGGCAGAAUUUUACACAAAUAUGAUGUAAUCUUUCACUUUAAA